rnacentral:rRNA from 1 species
GAUGAACGCUGGCGGCGUGCCUAAUACAUGCAAGUCGAGCGAACAGACGAGGAGCUUGCUCCUCUGACGUUGGCGGCGGACGGGUGAGUAACACGUGGAUAACCUACCUAUAAGACUGGGAUAACUUCGGGAAACCGGAGCUAAUACCGGAUAAUAUAUUGAACCGCAUGGUUCAAUAGUGAAAGACGGUUUUGCUGUCACUUAUAGAUGGAUCCGCGCCGCAUUAGCUAGUUGGUAAGGUAACGGCUUACCAAGGCAACGAUGCGUAGCCGACCUGAGAGGGUGAUCGGACACACUGGAACUGAGACACGGUCCAGACUCCUACGGGAGGCAGCAGUAGGGAAGCUUCCGCAAUGGGCGAAAGCCUGACGGAGCAACGCCGCGUGAGUGAUGAAGGUCUUCGGAUCGUAAAACUCUGUUAUUAGGGAAGAACAAAUGUGUAAGUAACUAUGCACGUCUUGACGGUACCUAAUCAGAAAGCCACGGCUAACUACGUG